rnacentral:rRNA from 1 species
UACGUAGGGGGCAAGCGUUGUCCGGAAUCAUUGGGCGUAAAGAGCGUGUAGGCGGCCAGAUAAGUCCGCUGUGAAAUCUCGAGGCUCAACUUCGAGCUGUCGGUGGAAACUGUCUGGCUAGAGUCCGGAAGAGGAGAAUGGAAUUCCUGGUGUAGCGGUGAAAUGCGCAGAUAUCAGGAGGAACACCGAUGGCGAAGGCAGGUCUCUGGGCCGAUACUGACGCUGAGGAGCGAAAGCGUGGGGAGCGAACAGG